UAAAUAGUGGGUUGUUUGUGUAACCCCUCUCCUCAUCAGAUCCCUACUAACCACACAGGGAUCUGCAAGUCUCCUGGGCAGUGGGAUCCAGCCUUUCCAUGAGUGUGGGGCUCCAUCCAUGUCCGUGUGUGUCACAGGCCACAAAACCCCACAGUAUUCCUGUGGUUAGUUCUGUCUGGAGACCAUGAGUGGGUCCCAGGGCUUCCCCUUCCCACCACUUGCUGGUUCACAAGGGCUGAUGCUUCUGGAAAAAGCUCUGCCUUGUGGCCUUUUAAAAAAAAUAAAUAAAUGAAGUGGCACUGCUGGGGAUUAGUCAUCCUUAUUUUUGAAGGAAGCUGUUUGCCAGCGCUGUCCGUAUCACGCAUGUGCGUGUGAGAUGGGAACUCCAGAAGGCUGGUAACGUGCUCUGCUCGCUGCUCCUUGGAGCUGAGCCACCCAGGCUCCAUUGAGCUGCUCCUGGCAGGUGGAAAAACCAACAGUCCAGCUUUCCAGACCCUUUCCCUCCAUUUUUUCAGGGCUGGAAUUCCUGCUUUGGCAGGUGUGGAAACGUGGAGGCUGUAACUGCAGUGAGCGAGGAUGGAUGAGCUGUUUUCUGGGGUCACGUCCAACUCCAGAGAAGAAACCCUGGGCUGUGUUGGUUUGGAGAUACGCCUCGUGCUCAUCACAGGGAGGUUCAGAGAAGCAAGAAGUUGGCUGUUGGGAUGAUUCCACAUUUUUCAGCCUGGCACACCCUGUGGGACUUGGAAUUACUUUCCUUUGGCAGUUUAGGAUAAACGAGUGAGAAUUACCUUAUGAGUACUGAACUUUUACCACCCUGAAGACUUACUUGAGCUACAUCCAUGGCACUUCCAAGCUAAACAAAACCUGGAUUUCUGGUGCCAAAAAGUGAUACAAACCUCCGCUCCUCCUCUGUGUGGGCAAAACCAUGGUCUUGCAAGCUUUCCUGUUAUCCCAGAGAGUUAAAAUGCUGCACUGUGAGAUCUGCAGAGGUGAAAUGAACUCCAAAGGCAGAUGAGAAACUUCUCCUGUGCUGUGUUGCUGGAGAGGCUUCCGAGAGCAGCAGGUCUUGAUGCACAAAUAUUUCCCUUUGUGCUUUCUCUGGAGCGAAGGAGCGAUAACUGCAAGGACACAGGUUCACUCUGCUUCCCUUAAACACCCUCGUGUUGCUGCGGUAUCAAAAUGGUGUUUGAUGAAACAAAAGCUCUGAUGGUGGUGGCUCAGUGUUUAUUUUGUGCUGGGUGUGCUGAUCAGUCCAAUGGGGAAUGUGGGAAGAGCAGCCUAAGGCUCACAGGUUUGGACUGGGGGUUUGUGUUAAAGCCUUGUCCUGCAACAUUUCCAGCCUCAUUUCUGUGAUUUUUUUUCCCCCUGGGUGUUGCACACAGGAAAAAAUUACAUUUUGAUGUGGAGUUAAUACAACAAUUAGGUGUUAUAAAUGGGAAAGUACAGGAUUCAGUGAUCUGACCAGUCCUAGGGGAUUAUAUCCUUUGCAGUUUUCCUGUUUGAGUAUCAAAUCACAUGGCUUUUUUUUACAUUUGUUUUCUUUGUUUUUCCACUGAAAUGUAAUAUUUUGCUGCCUGGAAGACCAUAGUCCUGUCUAGCUGAUGAAAGCCUUGGAUUUGGGAAGAAUCCUUGUCAGAUGAAUGGACACUGCUCUCUGGCACAUGGUUAUACAGAAGUUGGAGGGCAAGGGGAAGCAGGGCAGAAGCUGGCACAGGGAUAUCUCUAAUUUUUCCCAACAACAGGCAAAAAAAUAGUCUCCAGAACCCAGCUCUGUGUUCCAAGCGAGAGCCUCUGUCUUGGCAACAAAUGAGCCCAAAUAUCAAACACACCAGUGCCUUCUUGGAGAAAAUGAGCAUAGAACAGAAUGGAGUCGAUGGCUUUGUGACAACUUCCAGCCCCGAUGUCCUGUGAGAUCACUGGGUGACAGCAGUGACCCUGCUGGAGCUUCCCUGGAAGGACCUGGGAGCCGGCGUGG